CACACACACACACUCCCGCGCACACGACGCACCGAGGAGGCAGAUCUUGCUCGAUUUCGGCCCCAAUAAAGAAAAUCAGUUGCUUUGUGCAAAUUUUGUAAAAUGGUUGUUGUAAUAAUGAUGAUGGAAAUUAUAAAUAAAUAAGUAAUUAAAGGAAUAUAAAAUUGUUGGAAAGAUUCAUGGACACUUUUUUUCAUGGUUCGUUUUGAACAAAAAAUUUGGAAAAAAUGAAUGGACUGAUCUUGUUCAGUGUGUGAUAACGUGAACAUUUUGAAGAUUUUUUUUCUUUUCUUUGUUUUCUUAGCGUCAGUUUUCAUUCUCGAGUGCUGAGAGAAAAAAAGAACAAUAAUACAAAAUUGAGAAAUAACGCAUAAUUGAAAAAAAAAAAGAACAAAGAAAGCAAAUAAGUAAUAAAACA
rnacentral:lncRNA from 1 species